CCACUCCAUCAAACUAAAAAGAUACACAAGAGAAUGCUGAUAUUACAAGUAAAAAAUCUAAUUGAAUAAACUUUGAAUGGUCUUGGGAACAACAAAUUUUUAUGCAACAAAUUCAUAGUGGAAGACAAGUUUCUGGCUAAGAUGGGAGACUUGUUUGACGGCUUUCCAUCCGGCAAUAAUAUGGAACGAUAAUCCUUGGACAAUAAAACCCUCCAAACCAUUGAUUUGACUAUGGUUUAAGCUUGGUUUAAGUUUCCAUUAUGAAUUAAUUAUGUGGCUAUUCGUACUGGAGUAUGGCAACUGUUCUCACAUUUCUUAAAUUAGUAAUAUAAAAUAGUCUUUUUGCAACAGCUUUCAGCGAGCUUGCCGCUAGCGUAUUCGGCAAAGGCAUUGCAUGCGUGCGAACUGAAAUCAGGUCCUGUUUAGUUUUAGCCAAUGGUUUUCUGUUUGCAGACUUAGAAAUUUAAAAAAUAUUUUUUUCCCAACUUUUUUUAACUCUCAAAUUGUUUAUUAGGGGUUGGGAUCUGUUUAUCUUAACCAGGUGAUCUCGUGUUCGUAUUUUAGGCAAUCAGCGCUCAGGAAGGGUUGUCCGAAUAGAAAUCCAUUUUGAUGUAUUCAGUCAAUUAUAUCUUUCGUUAUUCUUUAUGAAACUAGUUGAAAUUUUGUAAUUAUGUUUAGUUAUGAGAACUAUAGCUCUGACAAAAAUAUGGAAUCGAAAUAAAGUAUAUUACAGGAGAUAUUCAGUUGUUUUAAUCAUAAAAUGGAUUUCUAUUUGACAACUAGUGCCAGUACUUUUCCGCAUAUCAAGAUCAUCUGGAAAUAUUCCAACUGCAGUACAAAUAGCAAAUCAAACUCUGCAUACUGUUCCAGUAGGAAUAGC